rnacentral:rRNA from 1 species
GACAAAAAGUAAUCUGUCUCAGUUAUAAUAGUUGAACUUAACUUUUAAGUGAAAAGGCUUAAAUACUUUAAGGGGACGAUAAGACCCUAUAAAACUUAACAAUAAUUUGAUUAAAUUAUAAAUUGUUAGUAUAACUUGAUUUUAAUUAAUGUUUGUUGCGUUGGGGCGACGGGAAUAUAAUUAGUAACUGUUCUUAAAUAUUUUAUUAACAAGUAUAAUUGAAGAAUAUUUGAUCCUUUAUUAAAGAUUAAAAGAUUAAGUUACUUUAGGGA